AUUUAUAAUUCCCUCUCAGAGUAAACAUGGGGGGGUUGGCCACGGUCAACUGUUGAGAAGCCAAACCGGAAGUACCCAAGAAUAAGAUUCAGGGUUUCCACAUUUUCAGGGCAUCGGUGGUGACACACGCCCGAGAUGGCCCCUCGCCCCAAAAUUUUAAGAGAUCUCCCUCUUUCUUUGAUUCCCUCUCAUGCUCUGCCUACGCUGGGCACUCCCUAAAAAUGCCCGAAGCGGACGCAUGUGCCAAGUGAUAAGAAGCGUACAUUCAAAGUCACCAGAGAGCAAUGCAAACUACUGUUUCUUCAGCAUGUGCUGGACGUUUUUCUCUGAAACCCCCAACUUUUUACUGGGUUUCCAGGAGACAAGAAAAGAAAAAAGCUACACUUACACGGCCAGUUCUCCUUUUCCACCCCUGCUUUACCCGCACAACAGCCUGGUCAGGCCACUUGGGUUCACGGUCUGAGUUUGCAACAGGCGGGACGUUUCACCUCUCCCCGGGAUGCUGCUGUUUCAGGAUGUGCAUCUCCCAAGUAUGAUUUGUUGCGCAUGAGAAAGACACCCACAUCGCCUGGAGCGAUAGACGAGAGAAACCAAGCAGGAGAGAGAGAAAGAGAACAGUCCACUCCAGACAGAAGAGAGGAAAGGCACAGUUAAUUCAACCCUAGUUUAAGGUGGGUCUGUCCUCCCUGGUAUCUCUUUUCUCCCAUCCACCUUGGACGAUUUCCUAGGUUAAGCUUUGCUCAGGCAAACAGAACUCCUUUAGACAUGCCUAAAUCUGGGUUGCACCAUUGUGCUCUUCUGCCUUUUCUUUUUUCACAAGCAGGCAGAGCAAGAUCCACUCUCUGAGUAAACAUGCUUGGGAGCAUGGCGCAAGUCUGGGCGCAUGACCCAGAGCAGGGAAAGGAAAAUAACAGGAGUGGCAAAGCCUUUUCUGGGAGAAAACACAGCCUGACAAGCGAAGAAAAAGCACGUCUGCGGGGAGUGUGUGUCAUUGUCGCAUGUCUUGGGGGUGUGCGCUGUUGUUUCUAGCACACAUUGUUCUUGAGGGUACGAGGGGCUCAUGUUUCGCUACCGGUUGCUUUGACUUCAAAGUUAUUUGUGUGUGAGAGAACGGAUCAAUUGUGGGGUGAUUUACAGCUGCUUGGACCAAAAAAAGGAUUUAGGUGGAAGUUGUGUUAAAUCACACCGGAGGAACUGUGAGUGAUCCGUGAUGUGAAUUAUUGUUUUUAAAAAUAACACGCUCAAGAUCAUGAAGUGGCGAGGAAUCUCUGCCUUUAAUCUGCGCCCAGGGCUAAUAGGCUUAAAAUAUAGGCAUUAAGUACCAUCAGGUUGCUUCCAAGCUACAGCAAAGGUUAUGAAUUAAUAACUUCCAAAGAUUCUUAUCCGUUAGCAGCCUGGUUCAGAUCGUGCAGACAAAAGGGCCGAAGAUAUGCAUCAAGCUGAGGGAAAGCAGGAAUGCACCC
rnacentral:lncRNA from 1 species